rnacentral:rRNA from 1 species
UACGUAGGUGGCGAGCGUUGUCCGGAUUUACUGGGCGUAAAGAGCGCGCAGGCGGUCGUUCAAGUCGCGUGUGAAAGCCCCCGGCUCAACUGGGGAGGGUCACGCGAUACUGAUCGACUCGAAGGCAGGAGAGGGUAGUGGAAUUCCCGGUGUAGUGGUGAAAUGCGUAGAUAUCGGGAGGAACACCAGUGGCGAAGGCGACUACCUGGCCUGUUCUUGACGCUGAGGCGCGAAAAGCUAGGGGAGCAAACGGG